AAGACAAAAAUUAAUCAAUUCGACUUAUAGUAAAUAUACUACACUCCUAUAUCGAAUGCUACUUUGUGGUGAGUCUAAACCAAUGCCCUAUAUCCUUACUACUGUUGUGGCGCCCUCUAGCGGACAAGAUGUGAACUAACUUUGUCAAAAAAUCCAUGAUCAAUAAUCCUGGACAGCACCCAUCAAACAAAUAUUCCUCUCUCUGCUUAUGUGAUUGGUUCCCUGCAAUGAUUCAAACAUCCAUCAAGCAAGUGUUUCGUCCCGUCCCUUUCGAAUGAAUCUGCGGCACUAAACGAUUCAAACAUCCCUCAAGCAAGUGUUUCGUCCCGUCCCUUUCAAAUGAAUCUGCGGCACUAUUUUAUUUUGGGAUCGUUUUUCUCUUUUGGUUUUUUGGUUUUAUUGUUUUUUCUGUAAAAGGUCCUCCUAGCCCCUUGACUGUUCGUUUACUUUUGUUAUCAUUUCUUUUGUCUGUGCGUAUACCUAACACUGUCCUAUAGUUACAUGCCCAUAUAAUAGCUACUCACAGCUACAAGCCUUCUCAUAAACUAGUGGAUUCUAAACGAAGAUGGAUGACCUAGAAAUUAUUUUUAUAAACUCGCAACCUGAAACAACUAUAGAUCUGGACACCCAGCCCGACUCCGUGGACCUUUCGCUGAUAUUCGGAAUUAAAACGCCAGAAUAUAUAAGGCAAUGGAACGUCUUAAGUGAUAUUGUAUGGGAUGAUAGUCUAGAUGACCUAAUGGCUGCUGCUCCGAUUGAUGAAAGUCAGACAUUCAACUUUCCGGAUGAUGACAGUGUAUUCGAUUUGGUCGAUGAUAAUGACGAAGGGGACAGAAAACGAUUCCAGGAACUUCUUCGCUCUAGAAAGAGCCGAGACGUAAUUUUAAUAAUAUUCUUAUUUAUGUUUAAUACAAUUAAUUUAUGUAUUUUUCUACAAAUAAUAAAUAAUAAAUACAAUAUAAAUUUAAAAAAAUAUUUAUUUUCAAUGGCUAGUUUUUUUUACUUUGAUUGGUGAAAUUUCACUCCACCAAGAGACUCAUACGAUUCGUUUCCAACAUGUUUUUUUCUAAGGGAGGAUUACACAAAAAGAAUAAGUAGAUUUUAGGUAGAGUGCCGGUACUAUUGAAUGUAUUGGUUGAAUUUCAC
rnacentral:lncRNA from 1 species